UCCUGGUUCUGUUGCCAUGGGGUGAAGCAUUUCUUAUGCCUGCCAUUGAAAGAGACAAAGAGAAAUCAAGCAUGGAUGGAACUUGUGAACUGUCCAGAAUCAUAGAAGAAAUUGUUCUACUUCCUUAGGAAACUGUCCUGCUUCCCUAGAUGACAUCAUGACUUGAGAAAUGUAUUUUUCACCUUCCUUUUAAGAAGGAAGAAGAGAAUGGGAUACCUUUGGAAUAAGGGCUAAGCUACUAAUCCAAUCAAAACAGUUUCAAGUACCUUUCUUCUGGAUCUCUCUCAAGGAAGCCAAUCCUGGGUGACUUUUGAACACUCAA